rnacentral:rRNA from 1 species
UACGUAGGCAGCGAGCGUUGUUCGGAGUUACUGGGCGUAAAGAGUGCGUAGGCGGUUUUCUAAGUUUGGUGUGAAAUCUCCCGGCUUAACUGGGAGGGUGCGCCGAAGACUGGAAGGCUUGAGUAUGGGAGAGGUAAGCGGAAUUCCUGGUGUAGCGGUGAAAUGCGUAGAUAUCAGGAGGAACACCUGCGGUGUAGACGGCUUACUGGACCGUAACUGACGCUGAAACACGAAAGCGUGGGUAGCAAACAGG